CGGCGUGUAGCUCAGGGAAGAGCACCCGGCUUGGACCGGGAGGGCGCGGGUUCGUCACCCGCCACGCCGG
rnacentral:tRNA from 1 species